AUGGCGUCUAGCGAGGGAAAUUAUCACCGUAGAGGUCCUUACUUUGAUGGUACUAAUUUUGCUAGUUGGAAGCAUAAAAUGAAAAUGCAUAUUCUUGGACAUAACCCCGCCAUUAGGGCUAUUGCGUGUGUUGGUUUGGAAGGUGACUUCUUUGAUGGGAAAGAACCAAACCGUGAAGCUACCGCGGAUGAGUUGAAGAUAUUGCAAUACAAUGCUCAAGCUUGUGAUAUUCUCUUCAACGGAUUGUGCCCCGAAGAAUUCAACAAAAUCAGCCGUCUUGAGAAUGCAAAGGAAAUUUGGGACACUUUGAUUGAUAUGCACGAAGGUACCGACUCCGUCAAGGAAUCCAAGUUGGAUGUGCUUCAAAGUCAACUUGACAAGUUCAAAAUGAAGGAUGGUGAAGGUGUCGCUGAAAUGUACUCUAGGCUUGCUCUCAUCACAAAUGAGAUUGCCGGCUUAGGAAGUGAAGAGAUGACCGAUAGAUUCAUCAUCAAGAAGAUUCUAAGAGCCUUG
rnacentral:rRNA from 1 species